GUCCUAGCCGUAAACGAUGGGUACUAGGUGUAGGAGGUUUCGAUACCUUCUGUGCCGCAGCAAACGCAUUAAGUACCCCGCCUGGGGAGUACGUGCGCAAGCAUGAAACUCAAAAGGAAUUGACGGGGGCCCGCACAAGCGGUGGAGCAUGUGGUUUAAUUCGAAGCAACGCGAAGAACCUUACCAGGCCUUGACAUCAUCUAGAAGGCUGUGGAAAACACAGCUGUCCUUUGGACUGGAUGACAGGUGGUGCAUGGUCGUCGU
rnacentral:rRNA from 1 species